GAUGAACGCUGGCGGCGUGCCUAAUACAUGCAAGUCGAGCGAACAGAUGAGGAUCUUGCUCCUCUGACGUUAGCGGCGGACGGGUGAGUAACACGUGGAUAACCUACCUAUAAGACUGGGAUAACUUCGGGAAACCGGAGCUAAUACCGUAUAAUAUAUUGAACCGCAUGGUUCAAUAGUGAAAGACGGUUUUGCUGUCACUUAUAGAUGGAUCCGCGCCGCAUUAGCUAGUUGGUAAGGUAACGGCUUACCAAGGCAACGAUGCGUAGCCGACCUGAGAGGGUGAUCGGCCACACUGGAACUGAGACACGGUCCAGACUCCUACGGGAGGCAGCAGUAGGGAAUCUUCCGCAAUGGGCGAAAGCCUGACGGAGCAACGCCGCGUGAGUGAUGAAGGUCUUCGGAUCGUAAAACUCUGUUAUUAGGGAAGAACAAAUGUGUAAGUAACUAUGCACGUCUUGACGGUACCUAAUCAGAAAGCCACGGCUAACUACGUG
rnacentral:rRNA from 1 species